CGUAGGUGGCAAGCGUUGUCCGGAAUUAUUGGGCGUAAAGGGCGCGUAAGCGGUCCCUUAAGUCAGAUGUGAAAUCCCGAGGCUUAACCUCGGGCGUGCAUUUGAAACUGGGGGACUAGAGUGCAGGAGAGGUAAGUGGAAUUCCUAGUGUAGCAGUGAAAUGCGUAGAUAUUAGGAGGAACACCAGUGGCGAAGGCGACUUACUGGACUGUAACUGACGCUGAGGCGCGAAAGCGUGGGGAGCAAACAGGAUUAGAUACCCUGGUAGUCCACGCUGUAAACGAUGGAUACUAGGUGUGGGAGGUAUCGACCCCUUCCGUGCCGCAGUAAACGCAAUAAGUAUCCCGCCUGGGGAGUACGGCCGCAAGGUUG
rnacentral:rRNA from 1 species